rnacentral:rRNA from 1 species
UACGUAGGCAGCGAGCGUUGUUCGGAGUUACUGGGCGUAAAGGGUGUGUAGGCGGUUUGGUAAGUCUGGUGUGAAAUCUCCCGGCUCAACUGGGAGGGUGCGCCGGAAACUGCUGGACUCGAGUGCGGGAGAGGAAAGUGGAAUUCCUGGUGUAGCGGUGAAAUGCGUAGAUAUCAGGAGGAACACCGGUGGUGUAGACGGCUUUCUGGACCGUAACUGACGCUGAGGCGCGAAAGCUAGGGGAGCAAACAGG